rnacentral:lncRNA from 7 species
GUCGGACUCGUCCUGUCCGUGGAGAUCUUUGUGAGCACCGUAGAACCCGCCAACAAUUCAUCGUCGAUCUCCGACCAUUGCGAGUGUCCCACGGGUAUUUAUGCCAACCCUCUCGACCCCCUUUGCACCCUGUCGAACUACCAAUCCCUGGCGCCAAAUACCACCGCAAUGGCGUGCGCCAUGGUGGGAAUUGCAGAGGGCGUGCGGAGCCGCCACAUAGGUGCUUCAAGUCCUCGGAUACUGGCCUGGGGGGCAUCGUCGGUGUGCGCGAGAUCUCCUCAGGGUGUCUCCACAUGUGGAUACUGACUGGAGCUCGCGAGAUUCGUCAUCGGAGCUUGAAGCACGCCGUGAUUCCGCCCUACGCCGUGACUAUAUCGAUUACCAUCACCUUUUCGGGUAAGAAGCACAGAACAAGUCUCUCCAUCACCUUUGGUAUGUAUAGCACCACUUGAGUCGAAGCUAUAAGCAUAAGAUCUGGGGACUAUGAACUUCGGCCAUGGCUCCGCUGUGUGGAUCGGUGGCGCCGCCUCGUUUAGCCGGUGUGAGGUGGUGACGCUCAUUGGCCGCCGAUCUUGGGAUGUGCGGCUGGGGAUUAGAUCAGGCCCAUACCGGUUCGGGGUUAGAUUUCAACCAUCGAUCAUUGAUCUGGUGGACUAAAGCACGUUGCAGUCCGUGGCCAUGUGUGGGUCGUUGAUUUCAGAUCGUAUGUCCCACAUAGCAUACCGGUUCGUUUUAAAUAAAAUCGAAUCCUGGCGUUUGUUUUCUAAUCGGACGGUCUAGUGACCGGAUACCCCUUCGGUCGUAGAUAAUUGCAAAAGGGACCCUGUAUUUUUAGUUUAUCAACCCGCAGUCCUGAGCUAUAGAAAGAUCUUCACUGUCAGGUCCUGGAAUUAACAAACCAGCCCCUGAACUCUUCCGAAAUAGUGG